rnacentral:rRNA from 1 species
UACGAAGGGUGCAAGCGUUACUCGGAAUUACUGGGCGUAAAGCGUGCGUAGGCGGUUUGUUAAGUCUGAUGUGAAAGCCCUGGGCUCAACCUGGGAAUGGCAUUGGAUACUGGCAACCUAGAAUGUGGUAGAGGGUGGCGGAAUUCCCGGUGUAGCAGUGAAAUGCGUAGAUAUGACCCGGAACACCGAUUGCGAAGGCAGCCUACUAAGCAAUUAUUGACGCUGAGGCACGAAAGCGUGGGGAUCAAACAGG